GGCACACGAGAAAAGAUAAGAUUAGGAAUGAGGAUAUCCGAGGUAAAGUAGGAGUAGCCGAAAUUGUAGGAAAGCUGAGAGAAAAUCGGUUACAGUGGUUUGGACAUGUGCAAAGAAGGCCUACUGACGCUCCGGUUAGAAGAUGCGACUACGGGACAGAGGUUCAGGGCCGAAGGGGUAGAAGAAAACCUAGGAACACUUUGGAAUAGACUCUAAGAAAAGACUUAGAGUACUUGGAUCUAACGGAGGACAUGACACAGGACCGAGCACAAUGGCGUUCUAAGAUUCAUAUAGCCAACCCCACUCAGUGUUUUGGAUUUUUCAAGUCUCCAAUCGAGAAGUUUGCCUCACUCGGAAAUUUAAGGGAACACUACCUCAACCUACAUGCUCCACUCACAAAGCUUCAACAUACAAGCUUCAAAAAAAGAAAAAAAAUCAAAGAACUUAGUGAAGAAGGCUUUGAUGUAUUUAACACAUUACGUUGAAAUGAAGAAAAGCUUAUUUAUUAAUAUCUCCGAUAAGUUACAAAUAUGUAACAAAUAAAAGGGAGCCUUCACAAAGGUUGCUUAGGAGAAGUCUCAGCAGUCAGUAGAGCCCCAGAAAGAGAAGGCAUCGGAGGGGGAUCAUUCGGAGCCUCAGUACUGGACAGAACCCUAGAAGGAGGAGGCAUCGGAGGUGGAUCAUUUGGAGCUUCAUUACGCUGUACAACCCCAGAAGAAGAAGGCAAUAAAUGACUUUGGAACAAACCCACAAACUGCUGAUGAUCAAGUAAAACCUGACCAUCAGAUUCCUUCAUCUGGUCAAUCUUCCUCUUCAUGUUUGUAGCAUAGUCAUGUGCUAGCCGGUGCAACUGUUUAUUCUCAUGCUUGAGCCCUCUAAUCUCCUGUUUGAGACUCAUCACUUCAGCCGCCAAUGAUUCAACUUGGCAGGUUCGAGAAAAUAGGCGUUGGGCCAUAUUAGACACAGAACCUGCACACUGAACACUCAGAGCCAGAGAAUCCUUAAUAGCCAACUCAUCAGACCGUUUGGAAAGUAGUCUGUUAUCUUUGAGAGUGAGAAGGUUCCUGGCCACCACCGCAGCAGUCAUAUCAUUCUUCAUCACGGAAUCCCCAACGGUAAGAGGACCAAUAGGGGAUACCAAGGAUGGGCACCAUAUGUUGUCUGGAGAAGGCGUGGCUGCCUCUUCAACAAGGUUCAAGUCAAAACGACGGUCGGAGGGGCCAGACAUUUUCAAAGGUGUUGAAGAGAGAAGAGGUCGGACAAAUCAAGAUCUUAGAAGUGCAAGAAUGGAGCUUCUACUGGUGGAGAUUCAAGUGUGCUUUGGAACUUAAUGCCAGCCUCUAUAAAAAUUUGAACUCGACAGAGCUUCAGAAAUCGAAGAGGCACCUGCCCAGACAUCGAAUAGGCGUUUGCUUUCUCAAAAGCUAGGUUGCUGAGAGACCACGAUAGCCGAUCUCAGAAAUCAAAGAGACGUUUGCUUUCUCAAAAGUUGGGCUGCUCAAAGACCACGAAUGUCGAUCUCAGAAAUCGAAGAGGUGCUUGCUUUCUCAAAAGCUGGGCUACUCAGAGACCAGGAAGGCCAAUCUCAGAAAUCGAAGAGGCACGUGCUUUUUCAACCUUGUCAGCACCUGUCAUAUGCACCCUCAGCUUUGCUGAAAUUAAGGCCAUUCUGUUGAAGAUUUCUGGUGAAGUAGAAAGCACGUGAAUCUUACUGUUCAAUCAUCUAUUUUCCACACGCACCAUCAGCUCAUGGGUACCACAGAUAACUUUUCCAAAGAUCUCUGACAAAGUUUAGACACGUGAAGCUUGCAGCUCCCACUACAUCGCUAUGACCAAGAAAGGUAAAAGAAUAGCAAAGAAACAACACUAACAAAGUUUAGACACAUAAAUUUUGAAGGUCUAGCUACCAUAUUAUUACCCACAAGGGUAAAGGAACAGCACCACUGCUGGAUAAUUCGAAAGUCCCUAUGUGUCAACCUCUGUGCUCCGUGGCAAGGUAGACUAGCAAACAUGCCCAACCUUUACUCAUAUUCGAGAAAACACUCAGCUUUCUCCGAAUCUCGAGAGCCAGAUCCCCUAUAGGAUUGCUUGUUCGAAAACCGAAGAGGCACCGCUUUCUCAACUUCGAGAGCCAGAUCUCCUUGGAUAAAGCUUGCCUGUAAUCUUCACACGCAACAUCAGCUUUCCAAAUACCACAGACCACUUUUUCAAAGUACUCUGACACACGUGAAGCUGGCAGAUCCCACUACUAUGCUAUGACCAAGCAGGGUAAAGGAAUAACAUUACUACUUGUUAGGGAGACUCCUAUAUAUGUCGACCUCCAUCCUCAACGGACAGGCAGACCUGCAAAAAUGCUUAACCCUUCCUCAUAUCUGAGAGGGCACUCCCAACGAAGUCUCUCGAAAUACUCAACUUUCUUUCCCCCCGAUAAUACCUCUGCAAACAAGCUACACUAAAGCAAGAAUAUCUUAUAUCAUCAGGGUUAAAAGCAAGAGUAUCCCAUAUCAUGCUUUUUCCCUGUCUUUUCCUUUGGCCUUGUUCUUACCUACAAGACAAGGAGAAAGAGAGCAAUCAGUCAGCACUUGGAAUCAAGCUUCCAGUCAGGAACUGACUGCCUGGAACCUCUUACCUGAUUACUUACCUGGCAUUGCUCUCGAGUACUCAUCUUCAACAUCUUAUGCUUCCAGAGAAGAUACCACAUCUGCCUGAGGAACAUAUAGGGAAAGUGAGAAGGAUACAAGGAAACAUGUGGAGACAAGCGUAACAGAACACGUGCCGAUACAUCCACUAGUUUGUCAACAGCAAAAGUAUCCCAUAUCAGCAGGGUCGAACGUACUCUAGAUUUGAUGGACUUGUUUUGACCCUCAAAUUCUUCAGUCGGCCUUAUACUCUGGAGGAAACCAGAAAACCCUCCAGCCCAGUUCAAGAAUAAGUCUGUGGAAAGUUACUUCUUCAAAAGCAAAAGUAUCUCAUAUCAUUUAUUCUCAUUUUUCUUCUCUUUAUCCUUCAUGCUGCCUGCAAGAUAGGGAGAAUGAGAACAAUCAGCCAGAACUCGAAAUCAAACUUCUGAUCUGGGAUUGAUUGCUUGAAGCUCUGAUUGCUUACCUUGUCUGUCACCUAUUUCAGCAGAUCCCCUAGCUCGGCGACUUGGGGGACUCUUACUACAUGGUUUGUAUCGCGCUUGACCAAGCUUGAAACUACAAGUAAGCUUUAAGUGAAAUUGAUACAUUACCUUGUGCAUCUCCACCAGUUAAAUAUACCACCCAUGGAUGGAGGAAGAGUACUUCCAGAGAAGAUGCCACAUCUACCUAUGAGACAGAUAAGGCAAGUGAAGCCGAUACCACACUUUGGCACUUAGAAGUUUCAUGAUUACGAGAUCAUUAUCCCACAACAUUUCCUAAUGUCAUUUGUACUAAAUCAUUCACUUGUACUCACCAAAGGAGAGCUUGAACCUAUGUACUUGUGUAAACCCUUCAUAAUUAAUGAGAACUCCUCUACUCCGUGGACGUAGCCAAUCUGGGCGAACCACGUACAUCUUGUGUUUGUUUUCCUGUCUCUAUCCAUUUACAUACUUAUCCACACUAAUGACCAGAGCAAUCUAGCGAAGAUCACAAACUUAAUACUUUCUGUUGUACCAAAGUCCUCACAGAUUUUGUGCAUCAACAAUCCUUAAGUCCUUACCUUUUUGCGUUGGUAAUGGAUGAGUUAACAAGACAUAUUCAAGGUGAUAUUCCUUGGUGUAUGCUUUUCGCAAACGAUAUAGUGCUGAUAGAUGAAACUCAUGAGGGGUAAAUGCGAAGCUUAACCUUUGGAGAGAAGUGUUGGAAUCUAAAGGUCUUCACCUAAGCCGAUCAAAGACAGAAUAUGGGGUGCAAGUUCAGUGCAAAUGGAGGCCAAAAUGAGUUAGAGGUGAGGAUCAGAGAUCAGGAAAUACCAAAGAGCGACCGUUUUCGCUACCUAGGAUCUAUCUUGCAAAAGAUCCGAGAAUUAGAUGGAGAUCUCAACCAUAGAAUACAAGCUGGAUGGAUGAAGUUGAAGAGCGCAUCCGGCGUGUUGUGUGACCGUCGUAGGCCACUGAAGCUCAAGGGAAAAUUUUAUAGGACAGAAAUAAGGCCGGCGAUGCUAUAUGGCACAUAAUGUUGGGCGGUGAAGCAUCAACACGUACACAAAAUGGGUUUGGACAUGUGCAAAGAAGGCCUACUGACGCUCCGGUUCGAAGAUGUGACUACGGGAUAGAGGUUCAGGGCCGAAGGGGUAGAGGAAGACCUAGGAAAACUUUGGAAGAGACCCUAAGAAAAGACUUAGAGUACUUGGAUCUAAUGGAGGACAUGACACAAAACCGAGCGCAAUGGCGUUCUAGGAUUCAUAUAGCCGACCCCACUUAGUGGGAAAAGGCUUUGUUGUUGUUGUUGUUGUUGUAAGUUUGUUCUUUAAUUUGAUCAGUUUAUUGAAUUAAACUACCAUAUUAAAAUAAGGUUUCCAAACAUAUUUUGAGGGCCGCUUGUGCUAAA
rnacentral:lncRNA from 1 species